rnacentral:rRNA from 1 species
UGGGGAAUAUUGGACAAUGGGCGAAAGCCUGAUCCAGCAACGCCGCGUGGAGGAUGAAGGCCCUCGGGUUGUAAACUCCUGUCAGGUGGGACGAAAAGAUGUCGGUUAAUACCCGGCGUCCUUGACGGUACCACCGGAGGAAGCCCCGGCUAACUCCGUGCCAGCAGCCGCGGUAAUACGGAGGGGGCGAGCGUUAUUCGGAAUCAUUGGGCGUAAAGGGCGCGUAGGCGGCUUGGCAAGUCAGGGGUGAAAUCCCUCGGCUCAACCGAGGAACUGCCUCUGAAACUGUCUGGCUUGAGGCCGGGAGAGGGUAGUGGAAUUCCCAGUGUAGCGGUGAAAUGCGUAGAUAUUGGGAGGAACACCGGUGGCGAAGGCGGCUACCUGGACCGGUUCUGACGCUGAGGCGCGAAAGUGUGGGGAGCAAACAGGAUUAGAUACCCCCGUAGUCC